UAUAUAGCAUGCAAGUCGCAUUGUAUUCACACAUGCCCCACAACCAGCCUACCGAUAUUAUCAAGUCAUGAAAGGUCGACAGAAUCUUUCUAAUUUCGAGCUGCACAGAACUGGUACUUUCUAAGAGUCAAUUUCAACUACUAUUUCAGUUGAUGAUUAAUGUUAAGCUAUACGUGAUGAUAGUUAUUUUGGUGUGAGAAAGGGAGAAAACGACAGUUUUAGGACUUGGGAGUUGAAUGUUGACUCGCGGAUUCCGUAAGGUGAGAAGCGUACGAUCGCCUGAGGAUCAAGCCGCAGCGCAGGGGCAAGGCUGAACGAUUUACUGCUCUGUUGAAGAGCACUGCCACUGGCUGUGCACAUCACCUUUGACUGUUUUGUGUGCGAAACAUCUUUAAUCUUAUUUUGUAUCAUCUUUAAUUUGUUCAUCUACAGAAACACCUUAUGACAGUGGGUCGUUGUUCUAAACCAAAUCAUCUGCCUGGUCUUCAAACCACGUUUUUGAGCUGAAAAUGGAGCCAAAAUUGAUUUCCAGACUGCACGAUGACUUGAUGUAUGGCUUCCAAUUCCAAGCAUUUGUUGGAUGUGUGGCAUUUUUGUUCUCUGUCUGUGAAUAGAACUGGAUUGGGGAUUGUUCAGAGCGAAAAGUGAAGGACUGGGACACAAAAAUCAAUAACUAGGAAGUAACUUAUCACCUUAUUUGGAAGAAUAUAGAUGUCAUCAUGUUAUCGAAGAGAGUCUGCAGGUUACUCAUCUGUGUUGUUUUACUGGGAACACUGGCAAAGCAAAGCAGGGCAUGUCCAUCGAACUGCAACUGUGAUGUGAGGGAGAAGGGCCGUGGAAAGUGGGGAGGGGAAAGAGGAGGUAGCAAGGCCAGACGCGUGUUGGAGUGUACUGGUCGCAGUCUUACAAGACCUAUACCAGUUAAUGCAAUCCCAGAAGAUACAGUGUUAUUGGAUUUGAGCAGCAACAACAUGAAGACUAUUCGUGGAGGUGCUUUUACUGGACUGAGUUCUGUUCAAAUACUGUAAGUUA